ACUCCUACGGGAGGCAGCAGUGGGGAAUAUUGCACAAUGGGCGCAAGCCUGAUGCAGCCAUGCCGCGUGUGUGAAGAAGGCCUUCGGGUUGUAAAGCACUUUCAGUCGUGAGGAAGGCGGCGUCGUUAAUAGCGGCGUUGUUUGACGUUAGCGACAGAAGAAGCACCGGCUAACUCCGUGCCAGCAGCCGCGGUAAUACGGAGGGGUGCGAGCGUUAAUCGGAAUUACUGGGGCGUAAAGCGCAUGCAGGUGGUUUGUUAAGUCAGAUGUGAAAGCCCGGGGGCUCAACCUCGGAACUGCAUUUGAAACUGGCAGACUAGAGUACUGUAGAGGGGGUAGAAUUUCAGGUGUAGCGGUGAAAUGCGUAGAGAUCUGAAGGAAUACCGGUGGCGAAGGCGGCCCCCUGGACAGAUACUGACACUCAGAUGCGAAAGCGUGGGGAGCAAACAGGAUUAGAUACCCUGGUAGGACAGUGAG
rnacentral:rRNA from 1 species